GGAAGCGGAAGGAGGGCUGGUGCCCCUCUUUGACUUCAAAUCAACAGGCGCAAAGGCAAUUUGCGCGGUGGGUUCGAUUCCCAUACGCUUCCGCCA
rnacentral:tRNA from 1 species